ACGGGUGAGUAAUGCCUAGGAAUCUGCCUGGUAGUGGGGGAUAACGCUCGGAAACGGACGCUAAUACCGCAUACGUCCUACGGGAGAAAGCAGGGGACCUUCGGGCCUUGCGCUAUCAGAUGAGCCUAGGUCGGAUUAGCUAGUUGGUGAGGUAAUGGCUCACCAAGGCGACGAUCCGUAACUGGUCUGAGAGGAUGAUCAGUCACACUGGAACUGAGACACGGUCCAGACUCCUACGGGAGGCAGCAGUGGGGAAUAUUGGACAAUGGGCGAAAGCCUGAUCCAGCCAUGCCGCGUGUGUGAAGAAGGUCUUCGGAUUGUAAAGCACUUUAAGUUGGGAGGAAGGGCAGUAAAUUAAUACUUUGCUGUUUUGACGUUACCGACAGAAUAAGCACCGGCUAACUCUGUGCCAGCAGCCGCGGUAAUACAGAGGGUGCAAGCGUUAAUCGGAAUUACUGGGCGUAAAGCGCGUGUAGGUGGUUUGUUAAGUUGGAUGUGAAAUCCCCGGGCUCAACCUGGGAACUGCAUUCAAAACUGACAAGCUAGAGUAUGGUAGAGGGUGGUGGAAUUUCCUGUGUAGCGGUGA
rnacentral:rRNA from 1 species